CUAGUCUCUCUCUAAUCUCUCCAUAAUAAUAAAGCAAAUUGGGUUUCUGGUCGUCCGUCAUGAUAUUUUUGCAAAAAGGCCUUUCCAUUUUCUGUUAAUAAACCACAGUCCUCAUUAUAAGUCAGCGCCGAAAAUGUACAGAGAGGAGAAAAGAAAAAAAAUAACGCCCCGGAAGACCCUGCCUCCUCGAUCCCAUCUCCACCUCCAUCCCGCCGCCACCUCCUGCCCCGCGACGCCCGCCCCACAUCGCGUCGAACGGGACCGCGUCCCUCCCCAAACAGCGGCGAUGAUGGAGGGCGCUGCCCAGCACCUCACUUAAGGAUUCGCCGGCUCCCGGGCACUGCGCUCAGGCGUUGCAUCAGGCGCCGGCAGCGAGGCGGGAGGCCCACACGGAAACGAAGAAGGAGAAAAUGGAGAGACGAGGGCAGCGCUGCACUCGCGGGACGCAUCAGGCAAUGGCAGCGAGGAGGGAGGUGCGGGCGGCAACCUAGCAGCAGCUGGCCGGAGCCGGAAGAUGGUGGACGGGCGCGCUUGGCUUCGUAUGGUGAUACUCAGCCCCCAUCUCUUUCACGGCAGCUACACAAGGCGCAUCUUGACUCUCGAGCCUCCAUCUCUUCCACGUCAAGCAACAUAAGCAUCAUGUUUUCCGCGUUUUUGUUUUCCAUGCCUCCAUAUCUUCCGUGGCAAGCAACACAAGUUUCUCUGUUUGUAAAUUGAGCAGUCAGAUUUGGAAACAAAGGAAUUGUAGAUUUGGAAAGGAGGAAUAGGGUACUAAACUUUUAUACAUCUGCAGAAGGUACAUCCCAAUUAAUAAGAUUUGUUUCUCUGUCUUGAACAAGGUACUCAACUUAAGAAUUCACCUUUAUGUGCUUAUAAAUUGCAGAUUUGGAAAGGAGGAACAAUGUACUGAACUUUUAUAAAUCAACAUAAUUUACAUCCAAAGUUAAGCAAUACACAAAUUACUAUGCAAUGGAGGAACACAGCAGUUUUAACCAUACUACAUGCGGAAAAUGUUGCUUCAGCUCUUGGAGUACUCCUUACUAGAUUUUCCUAGAGCAAUACUACUUACAUUCAGUAUUUUGUCGUCGUGGAAAUUCAGAUGGGCGUUCCGUAGCAUGUUCAGAAUAAUACUUUGCAAGGGACAACAACACAACGUCGAGCAGUAGCAGCAACAGGUUUUGCAACUUCAACGACCCUGAUGAGUCUACAGUCGUGCUCAACUCCUGCGAGGAGUGCGUGGAGGAGUUUCACCUUGAAACUCGAUGACCUGAUUCUCAGGUCAUUGUUCUACUGGCGCUUACUUCACUUGAACGGCUGGACCAGAUGAUAAUGGAUAAUACCGAGUGUAGUAUAUUGUUAUAAGGUUGCGUAUUAGCUUCCAUUGAUUUCGCUUCACUGGUAUCUCGAGUUCUCGACAAAACUUGAAGUAUAUGCUGAUGUCUUGCUCAGUUCAGUUAAUAAUAGUAUUAGCUUGAAGUGCCAUCCGUACUCAGUUUCAAAUAGACACCUCCAUAGAUAGGUCCCUUACAUUAUAUUGAAGGUUAGUGUCGUUACCUGUUUC